rnacentral:lncRNA from 1 species
CCCGGGCUGGUCUCAAACUCCUGGCCUCAAGCAGUCCUCCCGUCUCAGCCUCCCCAGUAGCUGGGAUUACAGGCACGUGCCACUGCACUGAAUAAGGACAUUCUUUACAUAAAUAAUGUAUUGGGCGGAUCAACUAAAUGUCUAUACUGAAGACAUUCUAUGGUAAAAUAAUUGAUACAAUACUAUUAUGUAAUAUACAAUCCAGUCAUAUUUUGGCAACUGUUUUUAAU